rnacentral:rRNA from 1 species
UACGAAGGGGGCUAGCGUUGCUCGGAAUCACUGGGCGUAAAGCGCACGUAGGCGGACUCUUAAGUCGGUGGUGAAAUCCUGGAGCUCAACUCCAGAACUGCCUUUGAUACUGAGAUCUUGAGUCCGGGAGAGGUGAGUGGAACUGCGAGUGUAGAGGUGAAAUUCGUAGAUAUUCGCAAGAACACCAGUGGCGAAAGGCGGCUCACUGGCCCGGUACUGACGCUGAGGCACGAAAGCGUGGGGAGCAAACAGGG